ensembl:lncRNA
CUACACCUGUUCAUAUCUACACCUGUUCAUAUCAAUACCUGUAUACACCUGUUUAUACAGUGUGCAUGAAGCCUUUGAUAUGAACAUGGAAGUCCAGAACAUUCAACUCAUCUCCAUCUAUCAUAAUCUACUGGUUUCUCUGUUGAGUUCAACUCAUCUCCAUCUAUCAUAAUCUACUGGUUUCUCUGUUGAGUUCAACUCCUCUCCAUCUAUCAUAAUCUACUGGUUUCUCUGUUGAGUUCAACUCAUCUCCAUCUAUCAUAAUCUACUGGUUUCUCUGUUGAGUUCAACUCAUCUCCAUCUAUCAUAAUCUACUGGUUUCUCUGUUGAGUUCAACUCAUCUCCAUCUAUCAUAAUCUACUGGUUUCUCUGUUGAGUUCAACUCAUCUCCAUCUAUCAUAAUCUACUGGUUUCUCUGUUGAGUUCAACUCAUCUCUAUCUAUCAUAAUCUACUGGUUUCUCUGUUGAGUUCAACUCCUCUCCAUCUAUCAUAAUCUACUGGUUUCUCUGUUGAGUUCAACUCAUCUCCAUCUAUCAUAAUCUACUGGUUUCUCUGUUGAGUUCAACUCCUCUCCAUCUAUCAUAAUCUACUGGUUUCUCUGUUGAGUUCAACUCAUCUCUAUCUAUCAUAAUCUACUGGUUUCUCUGUUGAGUUCAACUCAUCUCCAUCUAUCAUAAUCUACUGGUUUCUCUGUUGAGUUCAACUCAUCUCUAUCUAUCAUAAUCUACUGGUUUCUCUGUUGAGUUCAACUCAUCUCUAUCUAUCAUAAUCUACUGGUUUCUCUGUUGAGUUCAACUCAUCUCCAUCUAUCAUAAUCUACUGGUUUCUCUGUUGAGUUCAACUCAUCUCCAUCUAUCAUAAUCUACUGGUUUCUCUGUUGAGUUCAACUCAUCUCCAUCUAUCAUAAUCUACUGGUUUCUCUGAGUUCAACUCCACUCCAUCUAUCAUAAUCUACUGGUUUCUCUGUUGAGUUCAACUCAUCUCCAUCUAUCAUAAUCUACUGGUUUCUCUGUUGAGUUCAACUCAUCUCCAUCUAUCAUAAUCUACUGGUUUCUCUGUUGAGUUCAACUCAUCUCCAUCUAUCAUAAUCUAAUGGUUUCUCUGUUGAGUUCAACUCAUCUCCAUCUAUCAUAAUCUACUGGUUUCUCUGUUGAGUUCAACUCAUCUCUAUAUAUCAUAAUCUACUAGUCUGGUCUAAACCACUGAGUGACCUUUCAGAACAGAACAAGUUGCCUUGUCACUUCCUGUUUUCCUGAAACUACAGAAUGCUGUUUCAGUGGAAGGAGGGAUGAAUGAGGAGAGGGGAAGAGGAGAGGAGAGGAGGAGCUGAGAAGACAGGAGGAGAGGAAAGAAUGUUUUUAUACUUUCAAAGAUUUCUGUUGCCUUCCUUACUGACUCUUAAGGCCUUUUCUGGUUUGGGGAAAAAAUCCUUCCUCUCUAAGUAGGCAAACGGAAGACAGUCCUCCCCUCCUCGAUAGCGUCCUUUUGGCGAGGAAUCACACGUGUAUCCUUCCACAGAAGACAGUCCUCCCCUCCUCGAUAGCCUCCUUCUGGCGAGGAAUCACACGUGUAUCAGUAUAUUAUAUUCACGUUUUAUAUUGUCACACAGUCACUCCUCACUCACAGAUAGAGCACCAAGCCUGCUUCCCAAACUGCACCCUAUUCCCUAUGUAGUACAGUACUUUGAGUACGCCCCCUCUAGACCCUGGUAGUGCAUAAUAUAGGGAAUAGUUUUCCAUUUAGAACACAGCAUAGGGUUCCAUUUAGAACACAGCAUAGGGUUCCAUUUAGAACACAGCAUAGGGUUCCAUUUAGAACACAGUAUAGGGUUCCAUUUAGAACACAGCAUAGGGUUCCAUUUAGAACACAGCAUAGGGUUCCAUUUAGAACACAGUAUAGGGUUCCAUUUAGAACACAGUAUAGGGUUCCAUUUAGAACACAGCAUAGGGUUCCAUUUAGAACACAGCAUAGGGUUCCAUUUAGAACACAGCAUAGGGUUCCAUUUAGAACACAGCAUAGGGUUCCAUUUAGAACACAGCAUAGGGUUCCAUUUAGAACACAGCAUAGGGUUCCAUUUAGAACACAGCAUAGGGUUCCAUUUAGAACACAGCAUAGGGUUCCAUUUAGAACACAGCAUAGGGUUCCAUUUAGAACACAGUAUAGGGUUCCAUUUAGAACACAGUAUAGGGUUCCAUUUAGAACACAGCAUAGGGUUCCAUUUAGAACACAGCAUAGGGUUCCAUUUAGAACACAGCAUAGGCUUCCAUUUAGAACACAGCAUAGGGUUCCAUUUAGAACACAUCCCAUGUCUGAGACAGACACAAAAGCUUUAUAACAGUUAGACCAGUAAUAACAUCAGGCUUGAGAACAGUUCUAACAUGUUAUAGAACAAGACACAGCCUUGAGAACAGUUAUAACAUGUUAUAGAACAACAGGCUUGAGAACAGUUAUAACAUGUUAUAGAACAACAGGCUUGAGAACAGUUAUAACAUGUUAUAGAACAACAGGCUUGAGAACAGUUAUAACAUGUUAUAGAACAACAGGCUUGAGAACAGUUAUAACAUGUUAUAGAACAACAGGCUUGAGAACAGUUAUAACAUGUUAUAGAACAACAGGCUUGAGCCUCCAUGUGUUGCCUUCCGUUUGCUCCUCACUGGUUUAUCACUUUAUAUCUAUAUCUAUAUCACUAUAUCAAUUUAACCUGGAUGAAUAAACUGCUUAUUAAA